AUACGGAGGGUGCAAGCGUUAAUCGGAAUUACUGGGCGUAAAGCGCACGCAGGCGGUCUGUCAAGUCGGAUGUGAAAUCCCCGGGCUCAACCUGGGAACUGCCUUCGAAACUGGCAGGCUAGAGUCUUGUAGAGGGGGGUAGAAUUCCAGGUGUAGCGGUGAAAAGCGUAGAGAUCUGGAGGAAUACCGGUGGCGAAGGCGGCCCCCUGGACAAAGACUGACGCUCAGGUGCGAAAGCGUGGGGAGCAAACAGGAUUAGAUACCCUGGUAGUCCACGCCGUAAACGAUGUCGACUUGGAGGUUGUGCCCUUGAGGCGUGGCUUCCGGAGCUAACGCGUUAAGUCGACCGCCUGGGGAGUACGGCCGCAAGGUUAAAACUCAAAUGAAUUGACGGGG
rnacentral:rRNA from 1 species